UACAGAGGGGGCAAGCGUUGUUCGGAAUUACUGGGCGUAAAGGGCGCGUAGGCGGCCUGUUAAGUCGAACGUGAAAUCCCCGGGCUCAACCCGGGAACUGCGUCCGAUACUGGCAGGCUUGAAUCCGGGAGAGGGAUGUGGAAUUCCGGGUGUAGCGGUGAAAUGCGUAGAUAUCUGGAGGAACACCGGUGGCGAAGGCGGCAUCCUGGACCGGUAUUGACGCUGAGGCGCGAAAGCCAGGGGAGCAAACGGG
rnacentral:rRNA from 1 species